rnacentral:tRNA from 1 species
AUUCAUAUAGUUUAAAAAAAAACAUUAUAUUUUCAUUAUAAAAAUAAAACUUACUGUAUUUAUGAAUA